rnacentral:lncRNA from 1 species
AUCCUUGCUACAGAUGUAUACAGGAAAGUUUAGUUUAUUAGUUUCAUAUAUUAUAGCUCAUUGUUUUCCAGUACGAUGAGGAAGUUGUGUACAGAUGAGAUGUUUUACCCUUUAGGGGUUACCUACCACCCCAGCCCCCCAUAGUAAGUCUGCAUUUUGCAACACCUAAAAAUUUUGCAGAAAAGUUUUGGGUAGCGUAUUGUGACGAGGGACUCUGUAAUAGGGUGGAUGAUGAUGAUGAUGAUGGUGGUGUUACAAUUGAUAAAAGCGAGAUCAUGUGCCCUUCUAAUACUGAUCUACUUUUUCCUAAUUUGCUUUAGCUUCCUUCGCCCGCCACACACACACCACCACCCAUCCACCAUGCCCCAAAAAAGACCAAGAACCGGACUUUUUCAAGUAAAUAGAGGGAAACUAUCCUAUAUUUUUUCAAGCGUAUAUCCAAUUAAUUUUCAUUUUUAUAGAGAAUAAAAGCAACGCUGAAAACAAAUAUCGUGAAAGUAACAUUUUUGAAAUACAGGGAAAUUAUCUUACAUUUUUUAGAACGAGAAUGUAAUUAAUGAUCACUUUUACUGGCAAGCAUUUUUUGUAAAACAAAUAUUUUCAUUUAUUUAUAGACUGAUAUCUAACUAAUUAUCGCUUUGUAUUUGCUAUAUUUAUUUUAUGUCACUCGGUCUUAAAAUGUAAAAGCUAUAAGCUAAUAAUUUAAUAUGAUUAACAAAAACUGUUCAACUAGGAUUUUUGUAUGAAUAUAAGGUAAUACAAAGGAGGAGCACAAUUGAUUUAUAAUUUAGUGGGCAAACAAGGAAUUUUUGUCCAUAUAUUUAUUUUGGUGAGAAAAUGAAUGUUUCUAGAGAUGCAAAUUUUUUGUGCAUGUAUUUAUGUCAUGCAAAAUAUUCAUAUAUACCUUUUGCAGAAAAUUCAUAUAUGAAAAAAAUAAAAACGGAGACAAUUAAUAUAUCUAGAUUCUAGACUCAAAUUUUGCAGAAAAUUCAUAUCCUAUUAUAAAAAGGGACACAACCAAUACAUGUAUAUUGUAGAUUCGUGUGUAGAUUUUUUGAGGGAAACAAAGGUAGAGGUAUGUAGGGGUGUGCAAAAUCGAAAAAUUUCGAUUUAUCGUCCGAAUUCGAAUUGAAUUCAGAAUUUUGAAUUCAGUAAUUCGGAAUAAAAUCAGAAUAUCUGAUUUCAAAUUAGACAAAAUCGGAUCGAAUUCGGUAACUGAAUUUUUCAAAUCGGAUAUUCGGAUUUCGAAUUCACAAUUCGAAAUCGGAAUUCGGAAUUCCUAUUUCGAUUUCAAAUAUGUUUUUCAUAUAUAUAUAUAUAUAUAAUAUUAUUAUUAUUAUAUAUAUAAUAUAACAUUUAUAUUAUUAUAAUAAUUUUUAUAUUCUUGAAUUUGGUGAUUUGGAAUUCCUAUUUCGAUUUCAAAUUCAUUUUCAUAUAUAUAUAUAUAUAUAUAUAUAUAUAUUUAUAUAUAUGUAAUACAACAUUUAUAUUAUAAUAAUAAUAAUAUUAUUAUUAUUAAUAUAUAUAUAUUCAUGAAUUCGGUGAAAUUGAAAUUUACCGAAUUUCGAAUUGAAUUCGAAAUCAAAAUCGGUCAAAAAUUUUGACACCAAAAUUUCAAAAAAUUCCAAUUUCAAUAUUUCGAAUUAUCGAUUUCGAUUCAUUCACAUUCCUAGAGGCAUGACAGCCACAGACCACAAAGUACAAAAUUGGGAUAUUAAUUACAAAGAAACUAAGAUAAGAGGGCAUAAUCGAAAUGUAAACGAUCAUAAAAUCAGAAAUGAAGACACCAAUACUAUAAGAUAUCAACUCCACAGCCAGGGAAAAGACACAAAAGUCCAAAAUCAACACCCGAAUUACACGAAAAUCAAGACAAUUGACUGUAGAUGAGGAUUUGCAGCUUUAUGUAGUUUAGGAUAGGAUUAGGAUUCUUGUUCUGUACUAAAACCAAUGUUUUCAAACCCGGAUCGGAUCGACUGGUUCGAUCGCGAUCCGGUCAUGUGUUCAGUUCGGUUCAUAGCUUGUGUUGACUUUAGAGGUGAGUAAAUUCGGUUCAUACCGAAUUUAUAACCGAGUUUUAAUUCAAUUCGGUAAUUUGAAAUCGGGUAUUUGGUAAUUUGGUACAAAUUUAGUACAUACCGAAUUCACCGAAUUCUAAUAUAGUAUGAAAUAGGUAAUGAGAUUAUGAAUUUGAUGAUAACCGAUUUCGCAUUCAAAUUUGGUAAUUGAAAUAGGGUAUUGCAUUCGAAUACCAAUUGGUAUAUAAAAUUAUAUAAUAUAUGGAUAAAUGCUAUUUAUUAUUAGUAUAUACUACUAAUAUAUUAUUAUAUUAUAUAGGUAAAUGCUAUUAAUAAUAAUUAGUAUAUGAUAUUAUCAUCAUAUCAUGUACUUAUAAUAAUAAUAAUAUAUAAUAAUGUACAAUAUAUUAUUUUAGUAUUUGUUAAUUGUUAUAUGACUAUAAUAAUACAAAUAUAUAGUAAUACAUAAAAUAUAAGAUAACUAUAAUACUUAUUAUUUUAUACAUGAGUAACAUGACUAGAAUUAGAUAAUAAUUAAUACAUAUAUGUAUAAUACUAAAUAUUAAACAAUAAACAUAAUUAGUAAUUAGAAUUUAGAUAUUGGUAAUUUGAUACAUCAUUUGUGUUUGAAUUAUUGAAUAUUUGAAUGCGUAAUCUGUAAUUUGCAAGUAUUAGUGUGCUCUAAAUUUACAUUACAUAUUUAAUAUAAAAAUUCAUAUUAUCUAUUCACUAAUCUUAAGGUUUUAAGUAUAGAUAAGACAACUAAACAGUGUAAGUGAAUGCAUAUGAAUUGCAAAUCAAUGUAUUAGUGUAUUGAUCUUCACAAUAACAUAUGUAAGUAAAUAAGUUUUAUUUUGAUUUGAAAUAAAUUAUAAGUUUGUAACUAAUAUAACUUAUCACUAAUCAUUGUAAUUUGUAAGUUUGUAACUAAUAUUACUUAUUAUUAAUCAUUAUAAAUUAUAAAUUCAUUGUAACUACUAACUAAUAUUACUUAUUAUUAAUCAUUGUAAAUUAUAAAUUCAUAAAUUAUCACUAAAUCAUUGUACAGUUUAAGGUUUAUUUUAGUUUAAAUUAAUCACUUUUUAUGUGUUUCUUAAAAAAAUAAUAAAUAAAAGAUAUUAGGGAUACAAUUGAUAUUAUAUAUUCAUCAGGGGAGGAAAAUGAAAUUAUCCAUUUUUAGAACCAGGCGCCUUAGGGUAAAGCCCUUUGCUAUCACUGAACUCACCCUGGCCGUUACUUUUGUCUAAGCUUCCACCACCGUUACUCCCAGCACCUCCCUCCCGACAGCUCUACAGCAAGAAAACGUAAUCGGCCUCUCUGAAAUCAUCAAUAGGACUCCACUUGAGGUAAAGCUUAAAUUUAUCCGUUUUCUUUAAUAUGCCUGUAUAUAUAUGUCACCGGUGCUUCGAAAUAUUAAUUCUUUUUGCAAGCUUUAAGUCGAUAUACUUGUUAUUGAGCUCUGCAAUCGGAAAAUCAUUAUGUUGAAUUAUAAUUUUGUCUACUACUAGGUUAUCUUGUUGCAUUUUCACUGGAUUUUGAAAAUAUACUGCUUGAUUUCGUCGGCAUUAUGAACAAUAUACUAGAAAUCUUGACCUUGACACAAUUGAGAUGCAUAUCAUCCUUAUAUGGUAGAGAUUUUACUUCACUUUUGUGUGGUUCAUAUGGAGCAGACUCGGAAGGUGUUCUAUCAAAUGUUUGAUUAAUCUUUUCUUUUCUAAGAUGAAUUCGGUUAGACCGAAUUCAUUAUCUAUUUUGAAUUUGAAAUCGGUUGCGGAAUGAAUUCGAUUAUGACCAAUUCGAAAUUGAAAACGGUUUAGAUGUCUAUAAGUCGAAUAACCGAAUUCACUGAAUUCAUUGCACCGAAUUACCGAUUUUGCACUGAAUGCACACCCCUAGUUGACUUGGUCCAUGAACCUGUUAAACUCGUAAAAAACCAUUGAAACCGUUAAACCCGGGUCGAACUGUGAACCGCAGUUUUUUAAUUUUUGGCAAAAUUGAUUGAAUUUUGAGCGAAAUUAGCUAAAGUCUAGACCUAGUCUUUAGUUCACUCUUCAGUUUCUUCGCUUCGCCGCCGCUUCCGUCUUCACCUUUGGCUUUGGUCUUCAAUCUUCACGCUUCCUGCCUUCCUCUGCAAUUGCUGCCGUCCCUAAUCCAUUCUCCAAAGUAACUCCAAACUCCAAUCUUGAUCCAUAGCAAUUUCCACACUUGCUCAUCGAUCAAUACCCAAUUUCUCGCCGUUGGAUUUUCCUCCAGGAAUUUGGGCGAUAACCAGUUCAGCGGCCCAAUACUUGCCUCACUGUCAAAGAAGAACGGCUUAAAUUUAGUGUAAGCUUGCUAAAAAUUUAAUCUCAUCCUCGUUUUGGUUCCAUUAUAUAGAGUUUCGGUAUUGCAUGACGUUAAUGUUUUACUUUCUUGUUUCUUGUUGCUGGAAACAUCUUUGCUUUUGGUCUCUUUGUAUCUCCCAUGUGAGUGUUAUCCUUGAUCUUUUGAUUGUUGUUGACAGAAAAUUACUUUCACUGAAAAUAUAUUAGAUAAAUUAUUAAUCAUCAACCAGCCUCUCUCUGACUGAAAAUCUGUACAAAAUGGAAAAGUUUUCAGUUCUCAUUUGUUGUUCGGUUUGCAUCUUUAUAUCCAGACCUACAUUCCAAAGAAUUAUAACUUAUAAGGUACAAAACAACUGAACAGUUUUCUGGGUUGCCGUAUAUAUAUGCUCUCAUGAACUGCUUGAUCUGUGCCUGGUAUGGCUCACCUCUGUUCUUUGAUUUUGCUGUAAGUCAGGUUCUUCAUGAGAUGUGUGCCAAUAGUGUUACUAAGCUGGGGAAAGUUUCAUAGAUGUGUGCCAUGCAGUCAGGUUCUUCAUGAGCCAAGAGUAAUAUUUUUACUGAUGAUCACGUCUAACUGAAGUUAAUUGCGCCAAAUCUGUCCUGAAAAAAGUUGUCCGUACUCUGGAAUUCUUCCAAUUAAGCUAUGUAAUGUGAAUCUGCUUUCGGUAGUGUUUGGUUUAUCUAUAUAGCCUAACAGAUUCCAUGCACAACAAAAACUGACAUGUAUUGAUCCACACACGUCACUGUCAAGCAAAGGGUUUAGGAUUUAGCAUAGCAUCUAUCCAAAUAUAUAUCUCAAAGAACCUUCAACUUUUUAACUCCUUUUCUUCUUUUGCAUUAAACAAUUCAAAUAAGUUAGCAAUCCCACCACCUUCACCUUGCAUCUGCAUGCCCGUAUAAAUACAUGUCCACAUCUCAACAAUCUGGAACCAAGCCAAGUCUUCCAUCCAAUCAUCAACGUUUAAUUCUUCAUCGAUCUAUAACCAGAAUUUUUCAAAACCCAUCAGUAAAAUUUGAAUCUUGACCUUUUCUUCUCUCUUUCAGACCUUUUCUUCUUUAAUACAAUAUUAUUAAAUGGAUCGCAUAGCAAAAUUGGCUUCACAGAAGGCUGUUGUGAUUUUCAGCAAGAGUUCUGGUUGCAUGUGCCAUGCAGUUAGGUUCUUCAUGAGCCAAUAGUAUUACUAAGCUGGGGAAAGUUUCAUAGAUGUGUGUCAAUGGGGAAAGUAUUACUUCUAUACUUUUGCCGAGGAUGAUAUUUUAUAUGUCUUUGGAGGUGUCAAAGAAGUUUGACUUUGGGAAAGGGAAGUUGUAUGAUGUAAAUUGCCUUUUGUAUAUUUUAGUUUUGGCAAUUAUUACAAGACUAGGAUUAUCUUUUGCUAAGGAUUACAAGACUAUUUUAGUUUUGGCAAUUAGUUUUGGACCUUUUGAUUGUUUUAUAGACUUGUAUUGUUUUUUGUUAAUUCUAAUAUUUAGACAAUUGGACAUGUAAGUUGGAUAACUAUGUUAAUUGUGUGUGUGUUAAUUGUUGGAUAUUGCUCUUAUGUUAAUUGUGGUUUAGCAUUUAUAUCUUAUUCUGUGCAUAGGGGUGUGUGUGUGUGUGUGUCUCUCUCUCUCUAUAUAUAUAUAUAUAUAUAAUUAUUUAUUUAUUUAUUGAACCAGGGUUGAACUGGUCCGACCGGUUGAACCUUGAUCCUUUUACUUUGCCGGUUCAAUUGAAGGUCCGGGUUUUAAAACAUUGACUAAAACCCGUUAACCUGCGUCACUUCCAGUUCUGUACUAAAACCCUAAAAACCGAUGGAGGGGAGUAGCAGCGAAGAACUCGUGAUGUAUAGAGCUCCAGAAGAAUUUGAAGAAGUGAAAAAGGACCCUCUUAUUGAACUCAAUUUAAACGAUUCAAAGGAGCUCUGGCUGAUUCAAUGGCCUGUUAAUCAAGUAACCUUUCUUUUUAAUCCAAUUACUUUUAUUUCUGCUUUCGCUUAUCAUUUUCAUUAGUUUUCUCAUACUUUUAGCUCCAUUUAUGCGGGAUUUUCUAGUUGAGAGAUCAUUAAUUUUUGUUAAUGUGCAAUUAAUUGAAAACGAUCAAUUUUUAGAAAUUAAUUUUCAGUUAAUAUUCUGUUAAUCUUUCUUGACGUUAAUCAACUCGAGUAAAAUUUGAAAAUUUUGAAAGAUUUACAAUAGAGGAUGCUUUGCCAUUCAUAAUUUGGUGAAUUUGAUGGUGAUUGCUGGUUAUUGCAGAAGAGAAGUCAGUCUAGUAAUAUGAAGCCUAAAUUUUGUUAGUGCUGUGGUUGUUUGUUUUACGUGUUACAUUAUCAUGCUUUUGGGUGUUCCAGGCUCCUGAUUUGAAUGGACAGCAAGUGUCUUUAAAGCUUCACCAUGAUGGACAUCUGGGUAGUUUCGAGGGUUCAUCCGGUACUGCUAUUUUUCCUGAUCACUUUUAUGUUAUUCCAUUGUUUCCUGCAUUUGAUGGUUUUGUGCAAAAGUGGUUUCUAAAUUUGUUAAAAUCCAAGAUUAUGUCAACGAUGAUGAUGGAUGGCAUUGUUUUGUGUCAAUACUGUCAUAGGAAAAUCGUAUGAAGUGGUAAGUUUCAAGUCACAGGAGCCAGAAGCGACUGUAUUCCUGUCAUCAACAUCAGAGUCCAGAAUCGGUAAUUAUCUGCGAUUUAACAUGCAAUGGCUACUAUUAUUGUUGUUAUUGGUUGAGUCACGAGUGGCGUUUUUAUUUUAUCUGAGAAAAAUAAUAAAUUGACAAUCAUUGUAAAGUGCAUGCUUUUUAUAUCCAAAUGCAGCUCUUUUAGGAGAGAAGUUUCUGGAGAAAUAUCCAUCAAGCUCCCAUAAUUGGAGUAGGUUCUAAGUUGAACAUUGGUUGGCCAAAAAAAUAUUACAAUCAAAGCAAGUUAUGAGUUAUUUGAGUUGUUGAAACAGGGAAAGUGAAGAUAGAGAAACCUAUUCGGGUUACCUAUUUAAGAUGUUGAGUUUGAGUCUAUAUUAACAAAGGCAUGUCUUAAAUUACUCUAUGGAUUUAUAAUAUCACGGACGUUGUUGCAUGCAAAAGUUUCUGUGAAGUUUGACGAAAUAGGUAUUGCUAGCAGAAUCAUGUAAAACUAAAACAACAAAUCCAAUUAUGGUUUUGCUCAAAUGGUUUAUAUAAAACUAGAGAAUCAAAGAUCUCACUCCAGAUUUUCGUGUGAAUGAAAUGUAGCUUGAUGCUGUUAUUGUUUUCAAUGACGCUACACUUGAAUAUGACUUAUAUGUGGUAACAGCUGGGAAGAUCUCACGACGCGUUUCUCUACUGCAUUAUCCGGAGCCCAGUGAACUGAAAUCUGGUGGGUUAGCCAUUAAACAAAUGGUGCAAAGGUCUGCUGCUUCCUUGACAAAUUCAGCACAUCAUUAUAGAACUCCUACGCAAAGUACAAGGACAAGAAGUUUAGGGGCUGUGAGUGGCUAUACUUCCUCUAUACGUACUCCAAGAAACAGAAGUUCUAGGUCCGGGGAUGCAUCAAAGAGUCCAUUGAGAAGAGAUGUGGAUGAGCCAGGUAGGUCGAUUGACCAUUCUGUCCAAGAUUCAGGAAAAGAACAUAGAGCUGAUGUCUCUUCUGGAUCAUUAGAACAUCCUAAGCAAAAAAAAUCGAAUAAGAGGUUGAAGAUGUUCUGAUUGUUAGAGACGUGGAAGAACUUCAGUUUCAGUUAUAUGUUGCAUUGAUCCAAAUUUUAACUUUUUCAUGGCAACAAUUGAUCCUUCUUCACAAUGUAUCCUAUUUAUAUACCGUACCAAUUUUAAGUUUAGAUCUGUUCUCCAAUGUGCAUGGAAAACAAUGAGCUGAAAAAAGAGAAAUUUUGAUUUGACCAUUAAGGUGCUUUCAUUGCAACUGCUCAGGAAAUGAGUUCAAAACCAACCAUUUGAUAUAAGCAUCAAAUCCAGAAUGCUACUUGGAAGUAACCAAAACGUCAGACAUUGCACGGAUCAUAUUGCUCAUCCCUUGAUGAGUUUAUUGUACAAACCUUGCAGAAAUGGUAACAAAGGGCAUCGUUGUUGGCACAAAUAAGUCGUUUGUUUUCCUUACAGUUCUUCUCGAUUCAAAACUAAAGUAAGUGCUUAGUCAAGUAAGGCUCGUAAGGCUUGGUGGGAUGAAAGGUCAAGAAUUCGAACCUCGCUUUCCACCAUCUACCACUAUAUGUGGCCAGCCACUUUAAAAGUGGUUCCAAAGGGGUGCGUAGUGCUCUCGUCUGAACUGGUGGUGGUUCAGUCCCUACUGGUUUUCCCUUGAGUCUCUUCAGGUCCUCCCUUCCCCUCCCCUUCCCCCAUAGCAUAGAAUAACAUGUAGGUCUAUCGUAUCCGGCAAAAAAAAGAAAAGAAAAAUGGUGGGAGAACGAGGGAUUAUCUGCAUCAGGGUGACUCCUGUGUAGGACAAAAGGAACGUGUGUCUGUUGAGGUUGGUGCUUUACUCUUUGAUUGAUCCUUUUCCUACAUGUGAAUUGUACUACUAUGCUACUUAUCCUUACUUUCUGUAAAUGCAGCUCUGUAAAAUUGAUGCAAGAAUUAUGCGAGUAAUAGCUGCGAUGCAGCAGUUGGAAGCUAAACUUGAGCCUGCAUCUGCUUUUGAUUACCGGGCAAUCGUAGUACCCCUAGUGAAGUCAUAUAUGCGGGUUUGUUUUGGACUUUCUUACAUUCUAGUUGACUCAUCCUAUGCUUUUGCUCACUUUUUUAAUUUUGAUGGCUUUGUCUUGUUGUCUUUCUUUAUGUUCUCUUUCUCCAGGCUCACUUGGAGGAUCUUGCAGAGAAAGAUGCCACAGAGAAAUCUGAUGCCGCCAGAGAAGCAUUUUUGGCAGAACUUGCUCUUGAUUCUAAGAAGGGCAGCAGCGGAGGAAGUGAUAAUGCUCGUCAUAUGCAUGAGAAAACAAAGGAUAAGAAAAAGAGCAAGGAUUUUCAAAAAGCCAAGGAUUCAAAGGUUCGAAUUUCGUGUUGAGAUAUCCCUUUGUGUUACUGCCUUCCUAGUUGGUAGUUUAUUGCUCAGCUGGAGCAUUUAUGGUUGGCAAUUUAUUCCUUUUCAGGCUAAUAGUGGCAGUGAGCUACAUAUGCUUUCCUCAGAGACUACUAAAGAAAUGUAUGUUUGUUUUCUAGUCUUUGAGCAUGUUAAUGUGAACGAUCUGAAGUUGAUUUUUGUUUUAUAAAUACGAGUAAGGUUUUGUUGCAGCUCAUAUCCAGUCGCACACGAGGGAGAAGAUAUACAGGCUGAGAUAGUGAAUGCUGGAAAUGGUGACACCUUAGAACAAGAGGAAGAGGAAGUCAGGCGUAGAAUUGAACUUGAAGCUGAGGAGAGAAAGCUAGAAGAAACUUUGGAAUAUCAAAGGCAUAUUGAAAAUGAAGCUAAACAGAAGCAUCUAGCUGAGCAACAUAAGAGAACUGUGGGGAUAAAUCCAGAAAAAGUUGCAGCAAUUGCUCACUCUGAUACUUACUUGAAGCAACAUCAAGAUGAUCAUGAUGUCAAUGUCCAAUGGAAAUAUAGAAAAGAAGUGAGUAUUUUAUAUUUGUAACUCCUGGAAUAAAAAAUAGAUGGAUAUUUGGUGUCUUUCAGCUUUCUUUCUUCGAGUCAUAUCUUGUCAAGUGCUGCUUAUUGUGUAGUUUGCAGAGGACAUUAUUGAACAGACUGUAACUUAUGACCUGCAACUUUUAGGAACCCGUGGUACAGAGGAAUGGAUUUUCAAAUGCCAUGGAAGGUUUUCCAGAGGAUGGAGUUGGACAAAAAGCUGGUAACUUUACUUGGCUGUGUAAAUGUUAAUUUGUUUUUGCAAGGAUUUUUAGAAUUGGAAUGCUUGUAACUUCUUGGAAUUGGCCAUGUCUUAUAGGCUUGCCCAACGGGGGAAGCUUAGAGGAUGGCCUUUUGCCUUCUGAUCGACGGUCAGGAAGGAGACAUAGACGGCAAAAAUGUGCAGCUAGACUUAACCAGCCCGUGCUAUCAGAAAAGGAAAACUUGGAAUUGAAACCCUUGGAUGAAGCACAUGGUGAGUUCAAUAUAUACUUUUCACUUUAAAAUGAAGGCUCUUUUGAUGUGUAUUAUUUUGGAAACAGUUUGAAGUUGAAUUUUAGUUUAUGAUUUGCUCAUGAGAUCGGUACUCUAAUGGGAAGCUUAACAACUGUGUAAGACUUCAGAAUGAUUUGAAGACUGUUGAUCCUAAGUCUUGCUCCCUGUCAUAGAAUGUGUUCCUUUGAUGGUUUUAGGUGAACGAUUAAGUAUCCACUUUGAAUUCAUCUUGGUGCGUAAUCUUUCUCACCUAGCCAUUUGCUAGUUAACAAUUUUUUUGAUUUAUUUUUCCGAGUUAACUAGCUGAUAUGUUUGAGUGUCUUUUGGUUUUAACUUUCUUGUAGUUUCCAGUUUGUCAUGCAUCGAGACAUUGGCAUGUUAGUUUUGUUCUUGUGGUUUCCAGCUGAUUCUCAGUCAACUGGAUGUUAUUGGGUUCCAACCUUCUUGUCUUUUUGUAUGAUCAUUAUCGUUUGAGUUUGCUCCCUUUCAUUGUUUUCUUCUUCUUGUUUCACUUUCUUCUGUGGUGGUGGCAGCAGUGCUCUCCUACACGUGAUUGAAGGGGUUUUUUGGUCCUUGGCUUAGAGUUAAAUGUGCAACCUCAUGUACAUGCAAAAUGAUUCAGAAACUAAGCUUCAUGAAUUUCCAGAGUGUUUAUUGUCUUUGUAAUGGAAUUAACUUUUCUUCAAAUCACACAUGUUUUCAUUUUACAUUGUUUUUGUAACUUCAUGUAACGUUUAUAGCAUUCUUCCGUCUUUUUUUGAUACACACACUGAUUUCUAUCAGUUUACAUUGCUUUUGUUAUUUCAUGUAACAUUUACAGUAUUCUCCUGUCUUUUUUUGAAGCACACACUGAUUUCUAUCAUAUUUGGUGCUCAUCCUAAUGGCAUGUUUUUAAGAGAUUUACUGUAUUAUGUUACAACUGCACAAUUAUUUGACAGAUUAACAAUCCUUUUCUUUUGUUUUAGUUUCUUUUUCUGCAGAAUUAACUUUUAAGAUUUCCUAUGAUAUCUUUUUACUUGAGUUCAUCUUUUAGUAAGAUUUACAAGAUAAAAUUAUUCUUUCUUUUUCUUUUUUUUGGAGGAAAAAUAUCAUUGUUCUUGUCCUGCAGAUGAUGCAACAAAGACAUUGAGACAACUACAGGCAGAGGAGGAUGAUUAAGAAAGGUUCCAAGUAAAUCUUUGAGCUCUUUCUGGUGGUUCUUCUUUAUUAUUAUUUUUUUUUCAAGUUUUCCUUCUAUCUGCAAUUUUAUUAGCCUGUAAAACCUACAGGAGUGAAUGCUUGUGGUGUCUGAUUACUCCUCAGUUCAUAAAUUUUGGCUAACACAAAUGCUACAUACAGGGACAGAUGAAUGAUGCUUCUGAAGUGUUGGGUGUCAUAUUUGAUUGCCUUCAUCGAUUAUUUACCUCAACCAUGUGUACUUCUGAUGCCGAAUCAUUAGAUAGCAACUGCAUGGACUCUUGGGAUUGCACAAAUGGUGCUUGCGUUGCACAUUCUCUUUUUGGCAUGGACAUAUUUGAAAGAAUGAAUUGUUACAAUUGUGGUCUGGAGUCCAGACACUUAAAGUACACUUCAUUCUUCCACAAUAUCAAUGCCAGUGCUCUCCGUACUAUGAAGGUAUAUUAUGUUUGAGUCUGGUCAAAUAUCUAAGUUUGUUACAUAAAUUAUAGUGGAUACUCUUAUCCUCUUAACAAAAAAUGUGGUUGUCUGCGGAUACCUUUCAGGUUAUGUGUCCAGAAAGCUCUUUUGAUGAGCUUCUGAACCUUGUUGAGAUGAAUCACCAAUUAGCUUGUGAUCCUGAAGCUGGUGGCUGUGGAAAGCUUAACUACAUCCAUCAUAUUCUGUCGACCCCACCACAUGUUUUCACAACAGGUAUCUAUCUGUUUUUAUUUUUUUAUUUUUUUUCAGUCUUUUGCCUAAAUGCAAGAGUGAAUUGGAUGUCGAAAGAACCACUUUUUUGUUCAUUGUCGGUAUUGCAGAAGAUCUAAAUUACCUCUUUGCCUAUGCAUCUUUCAGUUUUGGGUUGGCAGAAUACCUGUGAACAUGUUGAUGACAUAAAGGCCACAUUGACAGCCUUACCUACAGAGAUGGAUAUCAGUGUCCUUUAUCGUGGUCUUGAUCCAAAAAAUAGGCACUGCUUGGUCUCAGUGGUAUGCGUCUUUGGAUUAUGUUUUGGUGAUUAUGAGCGAACUUGUAUCUGAAAACUGGAUUAGUUGUCCUAUCAUUACUGGUCUCAACUAUUGUUAUUUUUCUGGAAAAGUUUGAUUAUUUGCUUAUUUUUGCGUCCUUUAAACAUUUCAGUAUAAUCAGAUAAGAGGUUCCUUAGACUUGCAUACAAAUAUGUGGUACAUGCAGAUGUGCAAGGCAAAGGUCCAUUAAAUUGUGCUUAUUUUUCUCCGUUUCAGGGGAUCUUGUACUGGUGAAGAGUCUUGGUUUCCUUGAUUUGGAACUAGCAUUAGAUCUUCUGCUUCCCUUUUCCCCUGAAUCAUUGCUUUUUCUUCUUCCUGUACUCUGAAAUUUAUUUAAAAUAAAAAAAGAGACGCAGCUAAGGUAGGUAUGCAUACAUGAGUUCAUAUAUUUCCCACGAAAGUUUUGAUGGCUGUUGUUUGAUCAGAUAUCUAAAAGAUGUUGAAUUCCUUGUGAUUCUCUGAUUUUUCUAGAGAAUUUUUUGUGUUUCUUCAUUUCGUAUCAAGUGAGACUUGGUAACAACAAUUAAGCUUUAUAUGACAAGAUGAAUUUUGCAUUUCUGUCUUAGUUGGUAAUUUAUUUUGAAUAAUUCACUUGGUUGGAGUUAUGAAAGAAUUCAUGAAGAAGCUUAUGAACUUUGCGUGAUAUUUAUAGCUAUUUGAUUGAACAGUUAGUUAGAAGGUUUAAAUGGUUUAAGCAUUCUACUCAAGCUUCACAAUAGGUUACUGAAUACUGUUCAAAUUGAUGACAUAAGCUGUGUCAUGGCUAAUAAUCAUUUGUAACUCUUUUACUUUUAUGCUGGAUGUCAAAUGCAACAUUGUCAAAUCCCUAGAGAAGAUAAGAAAAAAAUAUUAAGAGAUUCUGAUUGAACAGUUAGAAGGUUUAAAUGAUUUGAGCAUUCUACUUGAGCUUCACAAAAGUAUGUUUACUAAUAUUACAGCUUGGUUAUUUGUGGGCUAAAAAUAGUUAAAACUCUUGAAACAUCUGUUGUGUAGGUAAGUAUUUUUUUUUUCCAAGAAAUAAGGGAAAAUCUAUAUGCCCUCAAAGCUGCACUUGAUACAUGAUUAAAAUAAUUGUUCACUUUCUUGAUUGUGGUUGAAAAUUCCAGCCAAAAUUCUUAAUUGAUAAUUAUAAGGGCAAAUUGGACACUUUGCAAAUUGUCUGGUGUGUCUCUAUCUGUGGCAUCCUUAAUUUAUCCUUGGCAUUCUUUCUAAUUUUAUCAGUAUUUUCUUUAUUCUUUUUUAGCUUUCAGAUAUCUUACCUGAUUCCAUUUAAGAUUAUCUGAAGCCACCACCAAAACAUCUACAGUGACCCCAGAAGUUUAUUUUGGUGGUGGUGUUGGUUUUUUUUUUUCUUUUUUUUUGUUUGGUUUUUUUUUUUUGGGGGGUGGGGGUGGGAAGGGUUCAUAUUUGUUGAAAAAUAGAAUCUUAAGACUUCAAGUAUGAUACAUAUUUUAAUAAAACUUUGGAGUAUAAUUGUCUGAAUAGAAGUAAUGUGAAGAAGGGAAGUUUGUUACAAAACCAAAUGUUGCAAGAAUAUGAAUGACAUUUAUUCUCUGUAAGUUUUAAAAAUAUUAUUGAGGGAUUUGAGAGUUUACUAUAUUUCCAAAUUCACAAGGAGUUGUGAAGAUCAUCUAAGAAUAAUAGUAUUUUAAAUCUGUGAUUUCUUUAGUUUAAAUUACUGAACGGAGAGCGCAAACUUGCUUGAAUAAUUUUGCAUUAACUAUACUUCUAGUGAAUGUCAUUAGCCCUAAGGAUCAGUUGGCUCCUGGGAUUAAAGGGUUGCACUACCAUCUGGUCCUAUCCCAAUUUUUGAGUUUUGGACCAUUGAUGCUUAAUUCCUCUGAACAUUUAUCCCUUGGAUAAAUAAAUAAUUUCUUGCUUGAUUCCAGUUUAAUUGUCUUUGAUAACAAGACCACUAUUUGUGGCCAAUGACAUAUCAAGAUCAUAAGAGAACCAAAAGAAGUUACACAUGGAUGAUGUGCUCAUAUAUGUUGCUUGAUAUCAAUUAUCUGGCAGAUUUUACUUUGAAAAGCAAACCAUAGGAAAGUUACUUUAAGGAGGAUUAGACAUGCCAUUAUUAAUUCCCUAAUAACCAUUCUUACCUAGUAUGAGCUAUAUUUAUGCACUCCAUGAAUAUUUUAUCAUUUUGGUAAAGGCUCUUUUUUUUUCGGAUGGGGUUCGGGCGUUUUUUUUUUGUGUUGUUUUUUUGUUUGGGGGGGGGGGGGGGGAACUGUGAUAUGUUUAGUUGCUCUGAUUCAAGCCAUCAUUUUUUUUUACUCCACUUGUUUGACAUUAGAUAUAUGUGUCCAAUUUACUUUGUUGACCAACUUUAGCUUAGCAUCCGUCACUUCGAAGGCUUUCACCAUCAACACCCCCACCCCCCUCCCCCCCCAAAAAAACACCGUGCGGGGGAUGUUUCCCUUUCACACACACACUCAGGCACACUCUUAGCCAAGGCAAAUAUGUCAACAGAGAAACCUUCCCUUUAAAUGCUGUUCUCUCUCUCUCUCUCUCUCACACAUGCACACACACUGACACACGCCCCUCUUCCGAAAAAUAUGUUGCUUAAAAUUCCUGAUCUUUUCAGCACCAUGGACAAGAUACAAUGAACAACUUCUAAUGCAUUUAAAUGCUUUUCGAUAGCUUGUGAAGUGGUUAUUUUAGUUGUAUUGGUGAUGAAUGUGAGUGGACCCUUAUCUUUGAAAAAGAAUGGUUGAAUUUUUUUUUUUCUAAUGGCCUUUUUUCAAUUUCUUUUCUAGGUUUGCUAUUACGGGCAGCAUUAUCACUGUUUUGCGUACAGUCAGGAUCAUGAACGGUGGCUUAUGUAUGAUGACAAAACCGUGAAGGUAAAUCUCAUUUGUCUUGCUUUUAUGCCUUCUAUACCUUUGUUUCAUGAAACAAGUAAACAUCUGAGGUUUGAAAUAUAGGUAAUCGGUGGCUGGGAGGAUGUUCUUACCAUGUGUGAGAGAGGGCAUUUGCAACCUCAAGUCCUCCUUUUUGAAGCCGUGAAUUAGUGUGAUGGGAGUUCAUCGCAUAAAUUAUAUAUUUACCAUGGGCUACAAGUCGCUCGUUGAACGCAUCCAUGAAUUGAUAUACUUGCCGUGUACAGCUAGCUCUUCAAGAUACAUGCUUCCUUUAAUAUAAUAGGGGAAGUUGGAAAUGUCACGAGUCCAGAAUUGUAAAAUACGAGUAAAAGGAGAUUUUGUUGUGUAUUUCAGGAGGAGAGCAGGGGACAUUGGCCUGCAGCAAAGUUUUGAAAGAAGUUUUGUCUGAAGAUUAGCGAGUAAAUUGAACCGAGAGAGUAGACUUUGGUGCUAACUAGCCUGUUGAACUGAGCCUUUGUUGGUGUUGAAAAGAGUUUUCUUUUAACCAGGCAUCUCACAAAACGAGGCAUUUCGGCUGUAAAAAUAGGAUUAAGUUGUGACAGUUGAGGGCCAGUAAAUAGUUGCCUGCCUGGCCCUAAAUUAAAUAGUUGGGGCAUGUGAAAUGGCAGCCUCUUAAGUGGCACUUGGCAACUAGCACCUUUUGUUAGCGGAUGGAUCCUUGCUACAGAUGUAUACAGGAAAGUUUAGUUUAUUAGUUUCAUAUAUUAUAGCUCAUUGUUUUCCAGUACGAUGAGGAAGUUGUGUACAGAUGAGAUGUUUUACCCUUUAGGGCUUACCUACCACCUCAGCCCCCCAUAGUAAGUCUGCAUUUUGCAAUGCUUAAAAUUUUGCAGAAAAGUUUUGGGUAGCGUAUUGUGAUGAGGGACUCUGUAAUAGGGUGGAUGAUGAUGAUGAUGAUGAUGGUGGUGGUGUUACAAUUGAUAAAAGCGAGAUCAUGUGCC